AGGUAGCAUAAUCAUUUGUCUUAUAAUAGAAGGCUGGUAUGAAAGAGUUGACGGUGCUAAAGCUUUCUUAAUAAAUUAUAUUGAAUUUGAUUCCUCCAUUAAAAAGUGUAGCUGUCCAGAGGGACGAUAAGACCCUAUAAAACUUUAUCAAAAAAAUUUUUUUUUAUUUUGUUUUAAAAAAAAUCAAUUGAUUGAGCUGGGGCGGUAAUUACUAUUCUGUAAAAAAAUUAACAAUUAUAAUUGAAAUUUUAGAUCUUAAUUAAAGAUGUAGAACAAGCUACUUUAGGGAUAACAGCAUAAUUUCUUAGAAUAGAUCUCAUAGAUUAAUAAGACUUAUGACCUCGAUGUUGAAUUGGGGAGCUCCCCUUAAGCAGAAAUAAGGGGAAGGGGUCUGUUCGACCUUUGA
rnacentral:rRNA from 1 species